rnacentral:rRNA from 1 species
AAGACCUUGCGCUUUUGGAGCGGCCGAUGUCUGAUUAGCUAGUUGGUGGGGUAAUGGCCUACCAAAGCUUCGAUCAGUAGCUGGUCUGAGAGGACGGCCAGCCACACUGGGACUGAGACACGGCCCAGACUCCUACGGGAGGCAGCAGUGGGGAAUUUUGGACAAUGGGCGCAAGCCUGAUCCAGCCAUGCCGCGUGAGUGAAGAAGGCCUUCGGGUUGUAAAGCUCUUUCAGCCGGGAAGAAAAGGUUGCGAUUAAUAAUCGCAAUUUAUGACGGUACCGGAAGAAGAAGCACCGGCUAACUACGUGCCGGCAGCCGCGGUAAUACGUAGGGUGCGAGCGUUAAUCGGAAUUACUGGGCGUAAAGGGUGCGCAGGCGGUUUUGUAAGUCAGAUGUGAAAUCCCCGGGCUUAACCUGGGAACU